rnacentral:rRNA from 1 species
UACGGGGGGGGCAAGCGUUGUUCGGAAUUACUGGGCGUAAAGGGCUCGUAGGCGGCCAACUAAGUCGGAUGUGAAAUCCCCAGGCUUAACCUGGGAACUGCAUCCGAUACUGGAUGGCUUGAAUCCGGGAGAGGGAUGCGGAAUUCCAGGUGUAGCGGUGAAAUGCGUAGAUAUCUGGAGGAACACCGGUGGCGAAGGCGGCAUCCUGGACCGGCAUUGACGCUGAGGCGCGAGAGCCAGGGGAGCAAACGGG